UACGAGGGGGGCGAGCGUUGUUCGGAAUUAUUGGGCGUAAAGGGUGCGUAGGCGGUUUGGUAAGUCUUAUGUGAAAUCUACAGGCUCAACUUGUAGUCUGCAUGAGAAACUGCCGGGCUUGAGUGUGGGAGAGGUGAGUGGAAUUCCUGGUGUAGCGGUGAAAUGCGUAGAUAUCAGGAGGAACACCUGCGGCGAAAGCGGCUCACUGGACCAUAACUGACGCUGAUGCACGAAAGCUAGGAGAGCAAACAGG
rnacentral:rRNA from 1 species